GUAUCUUCUUGGCUUUUUGGCUAAGAUCAAGUGUAGCAUUUAUUGUUAUCAAUUUAAAAUAUGAUAUGAUAGUAAUUGGAGUUUUAGAGCAGUGGCACUUGCUUUGUGCACUCCAUGAACAGACCUGAUAUUGCAGUAACUCCAGGAAUGGUGCAAUACAC
ensembl:snRNA U2 U2 spliceosomal RNA